AUUUAAGUAGUUUAUUUAAAAUAUUGAUUUGUGGUGUCAAUGAAGUAGAAUUUUUACCUUAGAUC
rnacentral:tRNA from 1 species